CUACGGGGGGCUGCAGUGGGGAAUUUUGCGCAAUGGGGGCAACCCUGACGCAGCAAUACCGCGUGAGUGAAGAAGGCCUUUGGGUCGUAAAGCUCUUUUCUAAAGGAAGAUAGUGACGGUACCUUAGGAAUAAGCACCGGCUAACUCCGUGCCAGCAGCCGCGGUAAUACGGAGGGUGCGAGCGUUGUUCGGAUUUACUGGGCGUAAAGGGCACGUAGGCGGCCUAGCAAGUUAAGGGUGAAAUCCCGGGGCUCAACUCCGGAACUGCUCUUAAAACUGCUAAGGUAGAGAUAGUCAGAGGCGGGUGGAAUUCCAGGUGUAGAGGUGAAAUUCGGAGAUAUCUGGAGGAACACCGGUGGCGAAGGCGGCCCGCUGGGGCUAUUCUGACGCUAAGGUGCGAAAGCGUGGGGAGCAAACGGGAUUAGAUACCCGGGUAGUC
rnacentral:rRNA from 1 species